rnacentral:lncRNA from 1 species
CAAAGGACCCUGGUUCCAAUCUCACUUUAAACCCGUUUUAGGGGCAGUGGUGGCCUAGCACGUAAGGAAGCAGACCCGUAAUCGGAAGGUUGCUGGUUCAAAUUCUGAGCCACCAAGGAGACACUAAGCAAAGCACCAUCCCCACACACUGCUCCCCGAGAACCUUUCAUGGCUGCCCACUGCUCGCUAAGGGUCAUGGGAUAAAUGCAGAGGACACAUUUCAUUGUGCUUCACAAUGACAAUCACUUCACUUUCACUUUCUACAGGGGGAUUCUGGACUGAAUGGUACCCGAGGAGAAAAGGGAGACCAAGGAGGCCCUGGUCAACAGGGCAACAGAGGUGGUCCAGGUAUGGUGGGACAGACUGGCUUCAGAGGAGAUCCAGGGGAUCAUGGAAAUGACAGUACAGUGGAGGGCCUUAAGGGUGAAAUGGGUAGGCAGGGGACACAAGUAAGUAGCAUAUGAUUGGAAAUUUAUUUUCAGUGGAGUCGUGUUGUCAGGAAUAUGUACUGUAUUUUUUAAACCUUUAUAUAGUUCAAUUGCUUUGCUUUUCCAACAGGGUGAUGUAGGGGAAGAUGGGCAUCUUGGAAGCCCAGGAGAUGAAGGAAACCCAGUAAUUUUUUUAUUUAAACUCCAGAAAAAAUUCACACUUCAUGUUUAAAUAAAACUUGAACUGUAUUUUUUUUGUGUAAAUAU